rnacentral:rRNA from 1 species
AUUGAACGCUGGCGGCAUGCCUUACACAUGCAAGUCGAACGGCAGCGGACCUUCGGGUGCCGGCGAGUGGCGAACGGGUGAGUAAUAUAUCGGAACGUACCUUUCAGUGGGGGAUAACGUAGCGAAAGUUACGCUAAUACCGCAUAUUCUGUGAGCAGGAAAGCAGGGGAUCGCAAGACCUUGCGCUGAUUGAGCGGCCGAUAUCAGAUUAGCUAGUUGGUGAGGUAAAGGCUCACCAAGGCGACGAUCUGUAGCGGGUCUGAGAGGAUGAUCCGCCACACUGGAACUGAGACACGGUCCAGACUCCUACGGGAGGCAGCAGUGGGGAAUUUUGGACAAUGGGCGCAAGCCUGAUCCAGCCAUGCCGCGUGAGUGAAGAAGGCCUUCGGUUGUAAGAC